rnacentral:lncRNA from 1 species
GUUGUGGCAGUAGUGACAGGUAUGGGAGCACAGCUCUAUCAGACAAAGAAGCACUUUGUUGCCAAGUGGGCCCAGCAGCAUGGAGCUGUUGCUCAUCCUGAUCACCCUGCUGCCCAUAGGCGAGCACAGGGCUGCGGCACUUCCCUCUUGAUUGUGCCCAAACCAUCAAGGCAGCCAGUGUCAAGUGCAGGGAGGUAUGCAGUGACCUGGAGCUCAUGCAGAUCCUGCUCCAGCUCUAUCAUCACCCUGACACUGGGCAUCAACAGCAUACCCUAGAUAAGUCUCAGCAAUAGUCCAGCAUUUACCGGAAACCUGAAGCAGGCCAAUGACUUGUUGCAAUAACGACUUGCUUUUUGGGCAAAACUGGCAGCUUGCAGUCCCACUUUAAUAAUGAAUUUGAAGAAGCAGGGGGAGUGGGGAGAGGUAGGGAGGGGAGAA